GGGGGGGUGUUUUCUUCAUUAUCCAUCGAUGAAGGGGAAAAUGAUAAUGCUGCUCUCAGCAGCUUUCUUGAACCUUUCUCAACAGACCUACAUUUGGAGCAUUUCUUGCAUGUUUUUUUUUACACUGGUUUUGUAGGACAGACAUUUGUGUUAACAACCACCAAUGUUUUGACGUAUUUUAAAAAAAUGUAUAUUGCCCAUAGGUCUUUACUUAGUGUCUGUUUUAUCUGGAUGCAGAAAUAGUGGGAAGUAGAUGUGUGUAUUGUUGAAUAUUCAGCUGUUCAAACUGCAAACCAGAGCUUGUUAUAGUUUUAUUAGAGAUGGAGUACGACUGGUCCUUUUGAGAAUUAAUCUCCAUUCCACUUUGAGCUAUUGGCUAAUUUUUUGACAGUGUGAAGCAGGUAGGAAAAAUGAAAUGACAGAAUUUAUCCUUGAAAUUAUGCCGUAAAGUAAGUAAUGCGUUAUAUCGUUGGUGCUCCAUUGGAACCUUGUUUACUUGAAUUUUUUAAUUUCACAAGAGACACAGAAAUCUUUCUGACAUUGUUAAUGUGAACACCUAGCCAAUAAAAUGUUGUCAAUUUGUCAAACAGUUAAGUAUGUCUUUUACCUUGCGCAUUAUUGCGCAAUCUGAGUUAACGACAAAACAUCCUUAGGUCGGCGAGGUUUUCCGUCUCAAGCGCUGCUCCUUUGAACUUCUUCAAGGUCUCAGGACAGUGCAACACAUGGAACUGGGUUGCUCUGUACUGGCCUUGCUAUCUUUGGGUUAUCUUUAAAUGCUCAUGUUUCACUUGCUGUGGUUUGUUUUAUGAUGUCCUGAUGGCCAGCAAGUGAGUGAGUAUAAUUUGUAUAUAUUACUUUUCAGCACAUCAAACGAAAUCGAUAAAAUAAGGGACAACAUGGACAGAGAUAGAACGAGGUUCACGGACCCAUGUCACUCUUUUGGUGCUCUCUAAUAACCUUGUUAUUGUGUUACUGAAGUUCAAAGGAUGAAAUGUGCCGUUAUGGUGGAUAGUGAGGUUUGCGUAGAAUUUUAAGUUCUUUUCAAGAUAUUAUUUAAUAUUUUGGACUUGAUAUUUAGACUAUACUUAUUGUGCUUGAAGGUAUCAGGAACUUUUUAGUGCAAAAAAGUGAUUUUCGCCAAAAUUUGAACCAGCGAGGUUCCAUCAGAGCACCAACGAUAUGACAAAGGCAUACAAUAUAGCAGCUCAUACUCUACCACUUUAGGAAUAUAGGUGGAGUCUACUGCUAGGAAUAUAGGUGGAGUCUACUGCUAGGAAUAUAGGUGGAGUCUACUGCUAGGAAUAUAGGUAGAGUCUACUGCACUUCUCCUCUAUUUUGUUUCUUUAAAAUGGCGGAUUGUACUUGCCCGUUUUACAAAAAGUUUCUGUUAUUUAGGCCAGGCCCUUCUGUCUGUGUUGCCAAAUUUUCUAAUUGUGCAUGUAUGUUUGUAUAUAAUAUCAAUUUCAUUUUAAUCCUGGUUUUCAUAUGAUUUAUUUUUAUGUCAAGAAUACAAAUUUUGAGACAGUGGGCCAUUUACAAAUAUUCUGAGUGGAAAUUUUGGGAUCAGCUUCUUGAUCAAGAUAUAGGAGCCAAGGACAGGAUUCUCCGUCUGUGUACUCAUUUUUGGGGCAGGAUCGCUGAUAUGUUAACCCUUUCCUAUGUCAAUCUUCCUUACAAUAGUCACCCAUUUUUUAAACUUCCUUUGCACGUAACAUUUUAGUUUUCUGAUUCUAUUUCAUUUUAGAAGUGCCGAUUUUCUGGAUAAAUCUAGAAAUUCAAAGGCCUGAUUACCAUACGUUAAAGAUUUUUGUUUGUUUCAUAGCUAUUUGUCACUUCUGGCAUUUAGUAAAAGUGAAGGGGAGUGACACUGCUUCUGGCUGUGAUGCGUUUGUUUAGGGGAGUGAAAACAAGGCUGCAGUUUAAAGCAGUGAUAUAAUAUAUGUCAUAGCCAAGCUAUAGAAAUUAUUUGGAAGAGAAACAAAGUGCAUAUCAACCUGAGUUUAGCAUGUUUGAACUCGUAACAUGGGUGAUACAUAAAGGCUCACAUUGUUUCGGACAAGUUUAACAGGAAAGGGUUGAUAAUUUUUUAAAUUGAUUUUUAAAAGUUUUAAUUUAAACUGAUUUUGUAUAUUUAUAAACUAUUUUGUACUUUGUACUUGCGUUACCUGAUGUUGAAAUGCCUUUUGUGUUGCAAAGUUUAAGGAUUCCCAUCAUAAUCACCUUUUCUUUCAUGGAAGUGGAAUUGACAAAUUUUCAUACAUAUAUUCAUGUGCAGAUUUAAUUUGAUUUUGUUUUUUGUUUUUUGUUCUAUCUUUCUUUCUUUGUUCUUUUUUUCUUUUUUUUUCACUGUAAUUGUUAAUAGACUUUAAAAGGUUUGCUGAGAAAGGCUCAUUUGUUUUGCUGUUGCCUUCAGAGUGGCUGUUUACUGUCACAUUUAAUGAAACAAAUUUUAAGUUUUUAAGCCUAAAUUUGUUUAUUUAUACUUGUUUGUAAUCAUGAAAAGGUAUUGGUACAUUGUCUGCCACGAAGCAUACUGUUUUAGAUUCCAUGUGUACUUCAUCAGAGUCCACAGGUGUGCUGCCUCUGGUAUUUAUUUCUGUAUUGUUUGUCUUUCUACAAGUAGAUAUGUAUGUGUCUUCGUGGUGAAAUCAGGCACUUGUCGAAAUAAUGAAAUUGAAGAAACCGUCAUUUUUCUGCUGGAUGAGCAAUUUCUUUAGAUUAAAAAAAUAUUUUUCUGCAGCUCAACACGUUUCAUGUCCUUGUAAAAGCUAAUUUUUAAAGAAUUUUACUGAAAAACGUUGAUCAAAGACACAUAAGAUGUAAACUAGCAGUUUACAAGGACAUUCAAUCUUUGUAAGUGGUCAAACCUCAACGAAGCAGACUUUGUGCUGUUGAAGCUAGAGAGGUGAGCAGAGUAAGUCCGAUUCCCUGUAAAUACUUCUCUGUUGACACCCACCCCUUGGCGCUCAUCUGACCGUAUGCAGUUGCGAGCGCCCUCUACUAUAAAAUAAAUCCCUACCUUUUUCAACAGCAAAUGUUUUGAAUUUUUUUCAAGAUUGAUUGAUGUUUUAUUCAUCAAAAGCAGAAGGAACAGGCUUUAAGAUAGUACCAAUACCUCUAAGUGCCCAAAGAUUGAUGAACGUCUGAUUACACUAUGUUAUGACACUUGUAUCUGUAUCUUUGAAACAUGUUUCUUUGUAUUGGUUAAGAUGUGUAGAAUGGAACGAAUGAUGACAUAUAGAUAGUGGAAAGUUAAAUGCGCAGUAUCUUUGAAAGGCAUAUGGACUGUGUAUACACCCAAUAUAUAUAUAUAACUGUACAUUUUCUGCAUUACGUUUAGGUACACUGUGAUAAAACGUGCGUUUUGUUCUUACCAAAAACUGCCAUCAAUACAAAAUGUCCACUGUUCUGUCAAAGAAUUUUUUUAAUAAUGGGUGGAAAGCUGGGUAAACGCCUUAGUGAAAUGAAGAAUACAAACAAGCAGCAUCCCUCAUAGGGCGUCCUUGGACUUGGGAUUUAUUAUAGAUUAUCAAGGCUUUCAAACCACUCCUAGCUUUGUCUUGUCGGAGAUGGAUCUAUUGUCAAAGGAUUUCAUGAAUUGUCUGUAUAGAAUUAAAGAGGUGGUUAACCCAUACUUUGUAAAGCAGUCAACAUAAAAUAUAGUGCACCCUGCCAAUCAGAUUGGCAUCUAUGGUGUAGUAGGUAGACGCGUUGUUGUCAUUUGUAGGAGACCCAAGUUUGAUUCCCAAGUGGGGAGAAAUUUGUAUUAGUUAUCUUAGUCUUUCUGCUGCGAUAUUGUGUUUCCCUCUUAGCCCAGGUAGGCCAUGACAGGCAGGGUCAGAAGCCUGUCGUUAACAUGGUCUAACUUAUGUUGAUGGGGGCGUAAAAACACAUUUUUUAAAAA
rnacentral:lncRNA from 1 species